rnacentral:hammerhead_ribozyme from 1 species
AUCCAGCUGGCGAGUCUCAAAUAGAACGAAACGCGAGUCCUGGAU